AGUGAACGCUGGCGGCGUGCCUAAUACAUGCAAGUCGAACGAAGUGUCGCACGGGUGAGUAAAAUAUCUUUAAUCUGCCCUACACCGAGGAACAACAGUUUGACACGACUGCUAAUACCCCAUAGUGUAGGAUGAGACUAUAUCGUAUCAGCUAGUUGGUAAGGUAAUGGCUUACCAAGGCUAUGACGCGUAACUGUUCUGAGAGGAUGAUCAGGCACAUUGGAACUGAGACACGGUCCAAACGCCUACGGGAGGAAGCAGUAAGGAAUAUUGCGCAAUGGGUGAAACCCUGACGCAGCAACGCCGCGUGGAGGAUGACACUUUUCGGAGCGUAAACUCCUUUUAUCAGGAAAGCGGUACCUGAUGAAUAAGCACCGGCUAACUCCGUGCCAGCAGCCGCGGUAAUAC
rnacentral:rRNA from 1 species